CACUUGGUCUGUUCUCUCCAUGAGAUAUUUUAGCUUUUUGCCUGUUCACUUUCUCCAGAGACUCUCUGGUUUUCUGUCUCACCUGGCUCUUUCCUGUUUCAGGCCCUGGAUGCCAUCUUCACACUCACUGCAUCUGUUUCUGCUCAUCUUCCCUUGUUUCAUCUUUGCUUGUGAGCGGUUACAGUGAAGCCCUGCUGAUGCUUGGAUCCUCGUGGUACCCAGCUGGGGACUCAGUUGCUGCAAUAUCAGGGCCUGAUGCCUAAAUCCACUGACCUGGGAUCAGCCAGAGCUAACUUCUGAGUGAUAGGAGUGUGUUCGCCAAAGUUGGAUGUUGACAGAAAAUAUGCUGGAGUGCGCUGUUUUUUGGGUGUAAGCCGGACCCUGGAGCUUCUUUCCACUAUUUACCAAAAGAUCCUAUCCUGCAGCAAUGCUGGCUGCUGUUUUUACCAAACAAGCUCUAAUAAGCUUGUGAGCAUAUAGUAAACUAAACAUAUGAAUAAAAGGAGAGUGCAUAGUGGACUUAACUGUAUCACCACAGCUCAGUAAAUACUGAACAAGGUUGCAGAAAUUACAGACACUAUGAAAAGGUUCACCUGUAUUCAGAGGGUUGCAGAUGAAGUCAGGUAAGGAGGGGAUGCUGUGGGACAAAGGCAGCAGGUUGGCGGUGGUCAGCAACAGCCACGCAAAAACAUCUUGCAGUCAAGACAAAAGUCUAAAAACACACAGACUGCAAAGGGAAAAAAGGUUUGAAUGCUACAGUGGGAUAGAGCAGAGGCCAAGAUUUUGGGGGAUGUAUUCCAAGGUUUUGUGGCUCAUUUUCUGGCGCUAAACAGUGAAAUGUGUGUGUUCUAAUAUGUAUCCUAAUAUUUAAUAUGUAUGUUUUUGCUGGUGUCUUCAUUGUAAAUGACUAUUUUUCAGUUUCACACCAGUCACGUGAUAGAACAUCAUCAACACGCCCACUAGCUCAGCGUGAAUGCUCCGGAGUGUACACUGCUGUAUUCUCAUGUGCUCACUCCAGCUUGCUCGGACAUUACACAGACUUUGUACUAAGGAGCUGGCAGGGUGAAGUCUGUUUGAGGUCCAGGUCAGCUGACUUGGACAUUUGCGUUCUCACAUACAGCUCCCCCCAGGUAAUGCCUAGAGAAUUUCAGGGUUCCAGUGCAU